CAGUUAAGCUAGGGGUGUUUGGACUGUCCAAGCUGAGAGAUACCCUUAGAACCUGAGACUGGGUAAUACCAGCGUAGGGAAGCUGUCUAUAGAGGAA
rnacentral:ncRNA from 2 species